rnacentral:lncRNA from 1 species
GAUGGGACAGGUAUUUAUGAGCUAUUAAGAAUUUUGCAAGUUUAUUAAUUUAUCUUUUUUUUUUUUGUAACAGUACCAAGGGCUCAAGAUGUCAAUAUUUGUAAGACAGACUGGGAUUUACCCAAACCCGAGCAGCAUCUCUGAAGUUUGUGAUCCUGUGCCUCCUCCCAGUGCCAUCUGGCUUUGAACCAGUGAUACUCUGUAUCUGGGUAGCUGACCUACACUCUAAGGCACAUCCUGUACUACAUUUUGAGAUCCAGUCAUCUUCUAGGGACUGAUGCAAGUUGUGUGGCUCUAUGCUGAUUUGUGUCAAGUAAGAAGGAAGCAACUUGGAAGUCUGUGAAGAACAGGAUCAUCUCUUGAAGCAGGUAGAGUAGGGAAGAAAAAGGUAAAUGGAAUUAAGAGAUACUUAGAAUAAUAUUAGACAAAAACAAGUGGCCAGACCGUGGUGUCCAAACUUUUGACAGCUUGGCAUAAUAUUGCUAAUAUGCAAAUGUUGGCAACAUUCAGAACUGUGUUGGGAUGCAUGCAACCCAUGGGAUACAGAUUAGACAUG